rnacentral:rRNA from 1 species
GGAUAACGUUUGGAAACGAACGCUAAUACCGCAUGAUAUUAUUGAGCUGCAUGGCUUGAUAAUCAAAGGAGCAAUCCGCUGAAAGAUGGGCUCGCGUCCGAUUAGGUAGUUGGCGGGGCAACGGCCCACCAAGCCGACGAUCGGUAGCCGGACUGAGAGGUUGAACGGCCACAUUGGGACUGAGACACGGCCCAGACUCCUACGGGAGGCAGCAGUGAGGGAUAUUGGUCAAUGGGGGAAACCCUGAACCAGCAACGCCGCGUGAGGGAAGACGGUUUUCGGAUUGUAAACCUCUGUCCUCUGUGAAGAUAAUGACGGUAGCAGAGGAGGAAGCUCCGGCUAACUACGUGCCAGCAGCCGCGGUAAUACGUAGGGAGCAAGCGUUGUCCGGAUUUACUGGGUGUAAAGGGUGCGUAAGCGGCUUUGCAAGUCAGAAGUGAAAUCCAUGGGCUUAACCCAUGAACUGCUUUUGAAGCUGCAGAGCUUGAGUGGAGUAGAGGUAGGCGGAAUUCCCGGUGUAGCGGUGAAAUGCGUAGAGAUCGGGAGGAACACCAGUGGCGAAGGCGGCCUGCUGGGCUCUAACUGACGCUGAGGCACGAAAGCGUGGGUAGCAAACAGGAUUAGAUACCCUGGUAGUCCACGCUGUAAACGAUGAUUACUAGGUGUGGGUGGACUGACCCCAUCCGUGCCGGAG